rnacentral:tRNA from 1 species
GGAGGCUGCAGCUCAAGUGGUAGAGCACAUGUUUAGCAUGCAUGAGGUCCUGGGUUCAAUCCCCAGUACCUCCU